rnacentral:rRNA from 1 species
UACGGAGGGUGCAAGCGUUGUCCGGAAUCACUGGGCGUAAAGGGUGCGUAGGCGGGUCUUUAAGUCAGGGGUGAAAUCCUGGAGCUCAACUCCAGAACUGCCUUUGAUACUGAGGAUCUUGAGUACGGGAGAGGUGAGUGGAACUGCGAGUGUAGAGGUGAAAUUCGUAGAUAUUCGCAAGAACACCAGUGGCGAAGGCGGCUCACUGGCCCGUUACUGACGCUGAGGCACGAAAGCGUGGGGAGCAAACAGG